AUGGAAUUGUUAAACUUGAAAGUUGAAACCCAUGUGCGAGGAUAUCACAUUUAUCUAGUAGAAAUUUAUCAGGGAGCAACAAACCUCGCCCUUGACGGACGCCCCAAAGACGCCUGCGCAGUGGAGCACAGGGAGGUGUGCGGGGGAUGCAGUGGAUGGAUUCCAGCUGCCACUGAAUACCUCGGCGUGGCGUCGUGCGCCGGCCGGGUCGGCAGUGGGGCGGACGCGGGCGCGGAGGAGGAUGCGCUUCCACAGCAACGCAGAGGUGUCCUGCAGGAGCUCGGUGUGUAUGAGCAAGGUGUAUGUACCCCGUCACGAGGUUCGCCGCCGACGCCGCCUCUUCCUUUCGGCGAGCUUCCGCGGGCUGGUGGAGGAGUCUGCCGCGUCUGCGGAACUCCUGGAAUCACCCCAAUCAUAGGCCUUCGCUUCUUCCCAAUCCUUGCUGUUGCGGGGGGCAGGGGGGUGAAGGAGCCAUAG
rnacentral:rRNA from 1 species